rnacentral:sRNA from 1 species
AGUAAAAGUCGUAACAAGGUUUCCGUAGGUGAACCUGCGGAAGGAUCAUUACCGAGUGAGGGCCCUCUGGGUCCAACCUCCCACCCGUGUUUAUUUUACCUUGUUGCUUCGGCGGGCCCGCCUUAACUGGCCGCCGGGGGGCUCACGCCCCCGGGCCCGCGCCCGCCGAAGACACCCUCGAACUCUGUCUGAAGAUUGAAGUCUGAGUGAAAAUAUAAAUUAUUUAAAACUUUCAACAACGGAUCUCUUGGUUCCGGCAUCGAUGAAGAACGCAGCGAAAUGCGAUACGUAAUGUGAAUUGCAAAUUCAGUGAAUCAUCGAGUCUUUGAACGCACAUUGCGCCCCCUGGUAUUCCGGGGGGCAUGCCUGUCCGAGCGUCAUUGCUGCCCUCAAGCCCGGCUUGUGUGUUGGGCCCCGUCCUCCGAUUUCCGGGGGACGGGCCCGAAAGGCAGCGGCGGCACCGCGUCCGGUCCUCGAGCGUAUGGGGCUUUGUCACCCGCUCUGUAGGCCCGGCCGGCGCUUGCCGAUCAACCCAAAUUUUUAUCCAGGUUGACCUCGGAUCAGGUAGGGAUACCCGCUGAACUUAAGCAUA